CAGUAGCCGCGGUAAUACGAGGGGUGCAAGCGUUAUUCGGAUUGAUUGGGUGUAAAGGGUGUGCAGACGGCUUAUUAAGUCACUUGUUAAAUUCUUCGGCCUAACUGAAGGUCUGCAAGUGAUACUGAUGAGCUAGAGGGUGGAAGAGAGAAGUGGAAUCCUCGGAGUAGCGGUAAAAUGCGUAGAUCUCGAGAGGAACACCAAUGGCGAAGGCAGCUUCUUGGUCCAUUCCUGACGUUCAUACACGAAAGCGUGGGGAGCAAACAGGAUUAGAUACCCCCGUAGUCCCUGUCUCUUAUAA
rnacentral:rRNA from 1 species